CCAAAGAUGGCGGGCCUCCGUGCCCCCGUCCCCAACCCAUUGUUGACCAAAACCCUUUUUGCCUCGGGGGCAGAGCGUCCGCCGCCGCCCCCGGAGGACCAUUUAACGCUGUCUCUUUGCGUCGGAGUAUUGAUUAAAUAAAUGA
rnacentral:misc_RNA from 1 species